rnacentral:rRNA from 1 species
AGUGAACGCUGGCGGUAGGCCUAACACAUGCAAGUCGAACGGCAGCACAGUAAGAGCUUGCUCUUACGGGUGGCGAGUGGCGGACGGGUGAGGUAUACAUCGGAAUCUACUUUUUCGUGGGGGAUAACGUAGGGAAACUUACGCUAAUACCGCAUACGACCUACGGGUGAAAGCAGGGGAUCUUCGGACCUUGCGCGAUUGAAUGAGCCGAUGUCGGAUUAGCUAGUUGGGGGGGUAAAGGCCCACCAAGUCGAGGAUCCGUAGCUGGUCUGAGUGGAUGAUCAGCCACACUGGAACUGAGACACGGUCCAGACUCCUACGGGAGGCAGCAGUGGGGAAUAUUGGACAAUGGGCGCAAGCCUGAUCCAGCCAUACCGCGUGGGUGAAGAAGGCCUUCGGGUUGUAAAGCCCUUUUGUUGGGAAAGAAAAGCAGCAGGUUAAUACCACGCUGUUCUGACGGUACCCAAAGAAUAAGCACCGGCUAACUUCGUG